AACCUUCUUCUGUUCCAAGCAUUGUGUGAGACCCUGCCUUGGAUAAGUCAAAUGCAUGAGCUUAGGAAAGUUUUUGAGAAAUAGAGUAACUGCUACAAAUAAUAAAAAACAGAUACAUCUGCAGCCAAGACAGUCACCACCGAAGAGUAUCUGGUGAACCCUGUGGGCAUGAACCGCUACGGUGUGGACACCUCCGCCUCCACCUUUAACCACAGGGGCUCCUUGCCCCCCUCCUCCUCGCUGUACUGCAAGAGGCAGAACUCUGGAGACAGCCACCUUGGGAGUGGUCCUGCUGCCACUGCUGGUGGUCCCCGCACCAGCCCCAUGUCUUCUGGUGGCCCCUCGGCACCUGGGCUGAGGCCCCCAGCCUCCAGCCCCAAGAGAAAUGCGACCUCUCUUGAAGGAAACA
rnacentral:sRNA from 1 species